ensembl:snRNA Gm25827 U6 spliceosomal RNA
GGGCUCAGCAGUUCAGCAGCACAUAUAACAUCACUGAAACAAUAUAGAGAUUAGCUAGGCCUCUGCAAAGAUGGCAUAUAAAUUUGUGAUAUAAUCCAUGUAUUU